AACGAACGCUGGCGGCAUGCCUAACACAUGCAAGUCGAACGAGACCUUCGGGUCUAGUGGCGCACGGGUGCGUAACGCGUGGGAAUCUGCCCUUGGGUUCGGAAUAACAGUUGGAAACGACUGCUAAUACCGGAUGAUGACGUAAGUCCAAAGAUUUAUCGCCCAAGGAUGAGCCCGCGUAGGAUUAGCUAGUUGGUGAGGUAAAGGCUCACCAAGGCGACGAUCCUUAGCUGGUCUGAGAGGAUGAUCAGCCACACUGGGACUGAGACACGGCCCAGACUCCUACGGGAGGCAGCAGUGGGGAAUAUUGGACAAUGGGCGAAAGCCUGAUCCAGCAAUGCCGCGUGAGCGAUGAAGGCCUUAGGGUUGUAAAGCUCUUUUACCCGGGAUGAUAAUGACAGUACCGGGAGAAUAAGCUCCGGCUAACUCCGUG
rnacentral:rRNA from 1 species